CCUACGGGAGGCAGCAGUGAGGAAUAUUGGUCAAUGGCCGGAAGGCUGAACCAGCCAAGCCGCGUGAAGGACGAAGGUGCCAAGGAUUGUAAACUUCUUUUGGCAAGGGACAAAAUCAGGCGCGAGAGCCUGACCGAGGGUACUUGAAGAAAAAGCAUCGGCUAACUCCGUGCCAGCAGCCGCGGUAAUACGGAGGAGGCGAGCGUUAUCCGGAUUUAGUGGGUUAAAGGGGUGCGUAGGCGGACUGUUAAGUCAGCGGUAAAAGCCCGGGGCUCAACCCCAGCGCGCCGUUGAAACUGGCUGUCUUGAGAUGUCGAGAGGUAGGCGGAAUGCGCAGUGUAGCGGUGAAAUGCUUAGAUAUUGCGCAGAACUCCGAUUGCGAAGGCAGCAUACCGGCGGCGAUCUGACGCUGAGGCACGAAAGCGUGGGUAUCGAACAGGAUUAGAUACCCUUGUAGUC
rnacentral:rRNA from 1 species